ACCAUGCCUUUUGAAUGUCGCGAAGGUGCGGCAGAAGUGUUUUAGAAUACGGUCCACAGUACAGUAACUCUUGGAUUGCAUAUAAAUCUCGCUGGCUGUUAAGAAAAGAGCCUCUGGAUUUCCUCAAGCAGUUCUGGCAAUGGCAAGAACUUUAAUGGAAGGUGGAGGAGGCAACCUUCAUUACUUUCCCUUAAUGUACCGGCGGUGAGGAGCUGAGGUUAAUGGUAACCUGCUCUUCACGCCUUCCCGUGAGAUCACAGUCCCACAGUUCUACAGUAAACCAUUCAAAUGAUGAAUUAAUAGGUAAAUACACAGACAAGUAUAUGAAUAAAUGAUUCAUUGAGAAACGCCGUGAAAAGUGCAGGUGUGUUCCACUCUGGUGAGUUUGAAGAGUGUAGGUGAUUGACAUGCAAGAUGCUCAUGCGUCACACAAACACAUCACGACCAACCGCACAUGAACUGAAUCGCCUGAGGACACAUCCGAGAUGGUUUCACUCUCUUCCUGUUCGUGCUCUGUGGUUCUGGCCAGGGGAGAUAAUUCCAGUAUUGCAUUGCGUAGGUUUCUGAUGCAAAGGCUUGGGUAGGAUGUUUCCAGCGGGAAGCGGACACGAAGGACAUCACAGUCUUUAUCAAACGCAGCAAGGCUUGGGUGCUGACUGUGACAGGCUCGCUGAGGCUACACAUUUCCCUGUGUGUCAAGGCGAGAUCCACCAGUGAGAGAAUCCGACCGCCCAGAAGGUGAGGGGAAUGAACCUUUAGCACACGGGCCUUUCAUUCAGCGGGUAAUGAGGGUGUCACGGGCAGACCUGCGUGGCUGUUCCUCCGGCAAUCCUGUCAACGCUACAUCCCUCAUCGACCGGUCACAGGAUACACCCCACAUAUGUGGCUCAUAAUGUGCUCUGAAGGAUACAACACGUCAGGAAUAUUGUCUGCAAGCCAUCUCAUCUGUCACCCAGCGUCUCCAAAACGCCAGAAUGUAACGUGUAUGGGAAAGAAGCCACGGAAUUGUAAACUCUGUG